rnacentral:rRNA from 1 species
GACGAACGCUUGCGGCGUGCCUAAGAAAUGCAAGUCGAGCGAGGUUUAGGCUUCGGCCGACGACCUAGCGGCGAACGGUCGCGUAACACGUAAGCAACCUGCCCUAAAGUUGGGGAUAGCCCGCCGAAAGGCGGAUUAAUACCGAAUGUGGAUAUGAUUUCGCAUGUGAUUAUAUCUGAAGCAGCGAUGCGCUUUAGGAUGGGCUUGCGGCCUAUCAGUUAGUUGGUGUGGGUAACGGCCUACCAAGACGACGACGGGUAGCUGGUCUGAGAGGAUGGUCAGCCGGAUUGGGACUGAGACACGGCCCAGACUCCUACGGGGGGCAGCAGUGGGGGAUCUUGCACAAUGGGCGAAAGCCUGAUGCAGCGACGCCGCGUGAGCGAAGAAGGCCUUCGGGUUGUAAAGACUCUGUCUGGAGGACGGAAACAAAAUAGACGGUAACCUCCGGACGGAAGCCACGGCUAAACUACGUGCCAGCAGCCGCGGUAAAUCACGUGUA